GACGAACGCUGGCGGCGUGCCUAAUACAUGCAAGUCGAACGCACAGUUUAUACCGUAUCUUGCUACACCAUAAACUGUGAGUUGCGAACGGGUGAGUAACGCGUAGGCUACCUGCCUGGUAGCGGGGGAUAACUAUUGGACACGAUAGCUAAUACCGCUUAAUAUUAAUUAUUGCAUGAUAAUUGAUUGAAAGAUGCAAUUGUAUCACUACCAGAUGGACCUGCGUUGUAUUAGCUAGUAGGUGAGGUAACGGCUCACCUAGGCGACGAUACAUAGCCGACCUGAGAGGGUGAUCGGCCACACUGGGACUGAGACACGGCCCAGACUCCUACGGGAGGCAGCAGUAGGGAAUCUUCGGCAAUGGACGAAAGUCUGACCGAGCAACGCCGCGUGAGUGAAGAAGGUUUUCGGAUCGUAAAGCUCUGUUGUAAGAGAAGAACGGGUGUGAGAGUGGAAAGUUCACACUGUGACGGUAUCUUACCAGAAAGGGACGGCUAACUACGUG
rnacentral:rRNA from 1 species